GAAACAAAACGCUCUUCCUGCAUCUUCCACUGAAGAAGAAUUUUUUUCUUUUUUUCCCCCAUUUUAAAAAAACAAUGUUGUGUUUAUGUUUGCUUUGAGAGUGUUUGAAUAGCGUCUUGUCUGUGAUAGUUACUCCUUCUAAUCUAGUCGUUAAGUGGGAGCAGGGUAAAAUUAGUCCUCCCCACAUCAUCAACAUUUAUUGUUGCCAAGUUUUUACAAACAAUCAGUAUUAAAGUGCGCUUAAUGUGUCAGAAGAUGGUAGAUAUUAGAUAUCAGUCACAGAGAACUGCAAUUGGUGUCUGGAUUUAUUUUGUCCUUCCUUCUUGUUUUCAUUUUCAUUAUUAAACUAAUUCCUUUUUUAUACACAUACACCUAUUGCACAAUAAGCUAUUGUAAACCCACUUCUAUUUCUGUGUGAUGAAAUUUUGCAAGGCUAUUAUACCUUGCAUCAAACAAGUCCAUUUUAAUAAAUGUCUUCUGUAAUUAAUUUAAAUGCAAAGGGUUUUGUCUUGUAAACCCAAUUAUCACUGAUAACUUUGUCAUGAAUAAAGAUUACAUUGGUUUACAGUACUAUUUUAAGUAUAUGAUCAUAUAAGGGUAUUUUAUACACUGUUUAUAGUAUUAUCAAACUCUGUACAAUAAACUGCAAACACACCAUGUCACAUAAUGCACAAACUUGUACCAAAUAAAUUGUUACAUUUUAUAUUCUUUUAUUCAUUUCAAAUUUUGAUAUGAAUUAGGAAUAAAAAAUAUAUACAUUG
rnacentral:misc_RNA from 1 species